rnacentral:rRNA from 1 species
AGCGAACGCUGGCGGCAGGCUUAACACAUGCAAGUCGAACGCCCGGGCAACCGGGAGUGGCAGACGGGUGAGUAACACGUGGGAACGUACCCUUUGGUUCGGAAUAACUCAGGGAAACUUGAGCUAAUACCGGAUAAGCCCUUACGGGGAAAGAUUUAUCGCCGAAGGAUCGGCCCGCGUCCGAUUAGCUAGUUGGUGUGGUAACGGCUCACCAAGGCGACGAUCGGUAGCUGGUCUGAGAGGAUGAUCAGCCACACUGGGACUGAGACACGGCCCAGACUCCUACGGGAGGCAGCAGUGGGGAAUAUUGGACAAUGGGGGCGAACCCUGAUCCAGCCAUGCCGCGUGAGUGAUGAAGGCCCUAGGGUUGUAAAGCUCUUUCGGCGGGGACGGAUAAUGACGGUAC